UGGGGAAUAUUGGGCAAUGGGCGAAAGCCUGACCCAGCGACGCCGUGUGGGUGAUGAAGGCCUUCGGGUCGUAAAGCCCUGUUGGGUGGAAAGAAGGGCUCAGAUGUGAAUAAUAUUUGAGCCUUGACGGUACCACCAGAGGAAGCACCGGCUAACUCCGUGCCAGCAGCCGCGGUAAUACGGAGGGUGCAAGCGUUGUUCGGAAUUACUGGGCGUAAAGGGCGCGUAGGUGGUUGCGUAAGUCGAAUGUGAAAUCCUGAGGCUUAACCUCAGAACUGCAUCCGAUACUGCGUGACUCGAGGGCAGCAGAGGGAAACGGAAUUCCUGGUGUAGAGGUGAAAUUCGUAGAUAUCAGGAGGAACACCGGUGGCGAAGGCGGUUUCCUGGGCUGACACUGACACUGAGGCGCGAAAGCGUGGGUAGCAAACA
rnacentral:rRNA from 1 species